GGGCGGGGUCACAGCCUAGACUAGCGCACGACAUGUCCAUGCUGCAUCCGGUGUGUGAGGUUCUGCUGGUCGCCUCUGUGUCCUCCAGCAGGAAAGCAGGGCCCACCGCAGUCUUUGCCUUACGCCUGCAAGGACCCCGUCUCCACAGCAGGUCACAUUCCAGGGCUCCACCGGACUGCACAGGAUCCCCGCGACAAUGAAGUGUCACCGGCACAGCCUGACCUGGCAGGAACUUGGAUCUUUCUACCCAGAAGCGAGUGUGAGGCUAUGCACACAUCACAAAACUCUUUCUGGAAGUUGUAGUGUACAGAAAGGGAGUACCUUUCCUGCCUCCUUUAUGCUUGUUUUUGUGUAGCGUCACGGCAUUUAGUUCUAUAAGCAGGUGAAUCCUCAGAUUUAAACCCGGGCGCACCAGCUCUUGGACUUGAGAACUGUCGCGCACCUGUGCCUUGGGAGGAAGUGUCGGAAUAUUAUCAGAAGUGCCGGUAACAGGCAGGGCCUUCUGGGUCAGACGCCAAGCUGGGGUGGUCUGCUGAAGCGAAUGCGGCUCACUUUCUGCAACCCGAGAAUCUUACACGGUGAUGGAGUCUGAGGAGAUUAAACCCAAGGUCUGCACGUUCCCCUCACCGUCUGUCAUUUGACUUGAAAGAUCUGUGGCCCCAAACCCAGGAACACAAAGCAGAAUGGAAGUUGACGUGACCAGAUUUUGUAGUGAAAAUCCAUACUGAAGAUUUGACAUUUUCUGUAUUUGGAGCCAUGAAAUUAAAGAAGAAAAGCCA